GCCAUAUAAGGACAUUGUAAUCUAUUAAUGUUUAAAUGCGUAUUAUAAGAACAUUGACAAUAGUUUAUGUGUUAUUUAAUUUAUUAAAUUCAUAUAAAUGUUUAUGCUUCGAAUAUGCCAUUGAUAGAUUUUCCAUAUAUUGUACUUAAAUCUUUUGAUUUUAUAAUAAUAUAAUUAUCAUUGAUUGUUGUAUUUAUUAUAUGUACAUAUAUGAUUGACAAUGCGAAAGAUUCAGGAUA
rnacentral:rRNA from 1 species